UGGGGAAUUUUGGACAAUGGGCGAAAGCCUGAUCCAGCAAUGCCGCGUGUGUGAAGAAGGCCUUCGGGUUGUAAAGCACUUUUGUCCGGAAAGAAAUGGCUCUGGUUAAUACCUGGGGUCGAUGACGGUACCGGAAGAAUAAGGACCGGCUAACUACGUGCCAGCAGCCGCGGUAAUACGUAGGGUCCAAGCGUUAAUCGGAAUUACUGGGCGUAAAGCGUGCGCAGGCGGUUGUGCAAGACCGAUGUGAAAUCCCCGAGCUUAACUUGGGAAUUGCAUUGGUGACUGCACGGCUAGAGUGUGUCAGAGGGGGGUAGAAUUCCACGUGUAGCAGUGAAAUGCGUAGAGAUGUGGAGGAAUACCGAUGGCGAAGGCAGCCCCCUGGGAUAACACUGACGCUCAUGCACGAAAGCGUGGGGAGCAAACAGGAUUAGAUACCCUGGUAGUCCACGCCCUAAACGAUGUCAACUAGUUGUUGGGGAUUCAUUUCCUUAGUAACGUAGCUAACGCGUGAAGUUGACCGCCUGGGGAGUACGGUCGCAAGAUUAAAACUC
rnacentral:rRNA from 1 species